AAGGUAAGCUACUAAGAGCAAAUGGUGGAUGCCUUGGCUAGUAGAGGCGAUGAAAGACGUGCCAGGCUGCGAUAAGUCUCGGGGAGCCGUCAAGGGGCUUUGAUCCGGGAAUUUCUGAAUGGGGCAACCCAGCUAUAUAGUGAUAUUAGUUACCGUAUAACGGAGCUAACGUUGGGAAUUGAAACAUCUUAGUACCAACAGGAAAAGAAAUCAAAAGAGAUUACGCUAGUAGCGGCGAGCGAACGCGUAAGAGGGCAAACCGUUAGUUUACUAACGGGGUUGUAGGACUGCAACAUAGACUUGAACUAACUAAUAGAAUAACCUGGAAAGGUUGACCAUAGAGGGUGAUAGUCCCGUAUAUGAAAGUGCGUUCAUACUUAGCAGUAUCCUGAGUAGGGCGGGACACGUGAAAUCCUGUCUGAAGCUGGGGAGACCACUCUCCAACCCUAAAUACUACUACUAGACCGAUAGUGCACAAGUACCGUGAGGGAAAGGUGAAAAGAACUGAGGUGAUCAGAGUGAAAUAGAACCUGAAACCAUUUGCUUACAAUCAUUCAGAGCACGAUUCUUUAUGACGUGUGAUGGACUGCCUUUUGCAUAAUGAGCCUGCGAGUUGUGGUGUCUGGCGAGGUUAAGGAAACCCGGAGCCGUAGCGAAAGCGAGUCUUAAUAGGGCGUAUAGUCAGAUGCUGCAGACCCGAAACGAUGUGAUCUAUCCAUGAGCAGGUUGAAACUGGUGUAAGAGCCAGUGGAGGACCGAACAGACGGCCGUUGAAAAGGCUCCUGAUGACUUGUGGAUAGGGGUGAAAGGCCAAUCAAACAUCGUGAUAGCUGGUUCUCUCCGAAAUAUAUUUAGGUAUAGCGUUGUGUCGUAAUUAUAAGGGGUAGAGCACUGAAUGGGCUAGGGCAUAUACCAAUGUACCAAACCCUAUCAAACUCCGAAUACUUAUAGUGUAAUCACAGCAGUCAGGCGGCGAGUGAUAAAAUCCGUCGUCAAGAGGGGAACAACCCAGACUAACAGCUAAGGUCCCUAAAUCUCAUUUAAGUGGAAAACGAUGUGGAGUUACUUAAACAACCAGGAUGUUGGCUUAGAAGC
rnacentral:rRNA from 1 species